rnacentral:lncRNA from 1 species
UGCGUGCAUAUGCGCUCAGAUGCGCCAGUGGCAUUUUCGUAAAUAUUUAUAAAACUAUAGGAAAUUAAUAUUUUUUUAUAUAUCUAAAUUAUAUUAAUUAAAUUUUUUAGUUAAAAAAAUAUUGGACAGAAAAAUUAUUAUAAUACAUCUAUUUAUUAAUUAUUAUAACACCCUAUAAUUCACUGUAACACCAAGGUUUAAAAACCGGUUAAUCAUUUAGGGGUAUUUUCGUAAUAAUAUAGCUCUAUAAAUGGCUAGGGUUUCUUUAAACUUAUAAAAGAGAGGCUUUUAUAAAAAGAAAAUAAUAAAUAACCCAAGAGGCUUUUAAAAAAUAAUAACGUAAUGGGCUGGGCUGGGCCUUCUUUAAUACAUCUACAAUAUAAAAAAUACUCUAUAAUAAUAAUUUAUUUAACCACACAUUUUUAGUCCCACAUCGAUAGAAUUCAAAAAACACAAAGAAGGUUGGUCUAUAAAUAAAGAUUCAUUUUGUCUAAAACAAAUAUGAAGUCUAAAGAGUGGGAGGAGCUUAUAUUAAAAAUAAUAUAGCUCUUUUCAUGGACCAAUGUAUAAAUUUUUAUGCUAAAAAUUUAUAAGGUCUUAAAAUAAUUUUUUUUGCCUUUUUUUUAAAAACAAAACAAAACACUGUUUUAAGUUAUUUAAAUAACUUAAAACAGGCCUGGAUCCGG